GGCGCGUUGGCAGAGUGGUCAUGCAGCGGAUUGCAACCAGGUACCUCGGUUCGAUUCCGGGACGCGCCUCCA
rnacentral:tRNA from 1 species